rnacentral:rRNA from 1 species
UACGAAGGGGGCUAGCGUUGUUCGGAAUUAUUGGGCGUAAAGGGAGCGUAGGCGGUUCGGCAAGUCUCUAGUGAAAUCUCUGGGCUUAACCCAGAGGCUGCUUCCGAAACUGCCGUGCUAGAGUGUGAGAGAGGCGAGUGGAAUUGCGGGUGUAGCGGUGAAAUGCGUAGAUAUCCGCAGGAACAUCCGAGGCGAAAGCGGCUCGCUGGAUCACAACUGACGCUGAGGGACGAAAGCUAGGGGAGCAAACAGG